UGGACUCCCGAGCUCGCCUUCCUAGUCUCGGGCAGCACUGAUGACCAUAGGCUGGUGUCUUAGUCCAGUCUGCUAUCACAAAGUCUCCCAGGGAAGUUAGAAGUUCAAGAUCAGGGGGACAACAGGGUUCUGAAAGAGGAAAUUUUCUGCCAAACAUUCAUCUCUGCAAGAUUAGAUGUCUCAGGAAUAGCUCACCAUCCAGGAGCCUCACAGUGGGAAUGCCACAGGACUCUGAACCUCAGCCACAGAGCAGAAGUUCAUGAUACAUUAAAAUUCCAGAGAUACACAGAUUUCAGGAACCACAGAAAGGGUAACUUGAUUUUCUUCCACUGACUGCUCUGUUGGUUUCUUUCCUGGAUUAUCGUGCAGCUGGGAGUGGGCCAGGAAGCCCAUUAAGAGCUUCUCACUGUCUUUCUGAUAAAAUCCAACCUCCCUUCCAGAUAUUGUUUGUUCAUAUGAGAAAAAAAGAAACAAUCCCCGAAAGAUCGGUGCUGUCUGUCCUGCAAGAUGGAUCUUUAUUAAAAAUUAUAUUUGAUUCAAUCACAAUCAUUAUAAAUUAAAAAAAAGAAAACUGAGUCCAGGA